UUCAAGAAGGCAAAAAAGCCAAGUUAAGGAAGGCAGAAAGAAAUUUCCAAUGAACAGUGUUUGGAUUAAGCCUUCCAAUGGCCUAUAUAUUUACCACCGAAGCAAGUUGAGAAAUUUAUAAUGGAACUUCGCCGACCUGAAAUCUCAAUUCCUACUUCGGCACUCUCUAGGGGUACAGCUAGCCGUUGAAGUUACAUCCUCUGUUGCCAUUAAUUUUAACUUCUUUUUAUUUAUUUAUUUAUUUCUGUUUUAUGUUGACUAUGGUGUGAUCUGCCGAGUAGAAAAUCAUAGAGAAGCUUUCCGUCGUUAUAUUGAAGGGUUUCGGUGGGUCUACAAAGCUGGCAGGCUGAAGAUUUUCAGUAGAAGUUCUUACACCAGCCACUGAGGGACCUAUAUAUCCAUGUGGUAAACACGGGAUCCAAGAUGCUCCACUUGUAACCCGGCGCUCUCACAACCAUCAAAGAAGAGAGAUUCGUCCUCCUUGCCAAUUCUACGUCUCCAACUCAUUAAAAAAGCUGGCCUAGGCAACCCGAUAUUGUGUGUUCCUGCCAGUAUCAGACCAAAAACAAUCAUCAAAUUCUUGAACUUGACAUUCUACUUUCACCUCUUGAAAUGGAGAGCAUAAUACCUCCAUUCUGCUCAUUUUCCAUGAUAGAGCCUGCUCUGUCAUUUUUCAGCUUGUAAGAUUUGAGGAGAAAGGAAAGAGUUUUUAUCAA